rnacentral:rRNA from 1 species
GACGGGGGGGGCAAGUGUUCUUCGGAAUGACUGGGCGUAAAGGGCACGUAGGCGGUGAAUCGGGUUGAAAGUGAAAGUCGCCAAAAAGUGGCGGAAUGCUCUCGAAACCAAUUCACUUGAGUGAGACAGAGGAGAGUGGAAUUUCGUGUGUAGGGGUGAAAUCCGUAAAUAUACGAAGGAACGCCAAAAGCGAAGGCAGCUCUCUGGGUCCCUACCGACGCUGGGGUGCGAAAGUAUGGGGAGCAAAACGG